rnacentral:tRNA from 1 species
CACUAAUUAGUAUAACAUACACUUAAUUUCCAAUUAAGAGAUUCUA